UGAGAACACCAUUACCCAGAUCGCAGCAUAUCCAUUUGAGUAAAACACAUUUUCUGACUUUGGCUAUAUCCAUUAAACUAAAAGAGAAAUAAGGGCUUUGGCUUACUGCAAACUCAAAGAAGAUUUUAUUUAUUUUUUUUUUUUCAAAGAAGAUUUUAAAGAGUGAGUUUGGUGCCACUCUCCUCCUCUCCUUCAAGGAAAAAAGCUUCUUCUAUCCUCAGGACUUGCUGAGCUUUAGAGAGUGAAGAAGAUUCAUCACCCAGGCAAGGGGCAGGGCUCUCAACCUGGAACCGAGACCGAUUCCGGAGAAAACAGGAGAGGACACUAUUAGAGAGAAUAUUGUUGGUCGCACUUCCAUCCUACCUUUUCACUCACUUCUCCUCAUGGAAAAAGAAGAGCCCAGAAGAGCCCAGCACAUCUGGGAUACAGUCUCUCCUGGGGUCCUACACAUGGCACACAUUCUUUCUCUCUUGUUCUGUAAGGAAAGUGCUGAAAGUGUUCAACUUUUUUGCCUCAAUGGAAGGAGAGUAAAAAGGUACGGAAUUAGACACUGGAGAUGCCAAUAUGAAGACAUUGUAUUUUGAAGAAGACAAGCGUAGAUUUCCAUAAUAAUAUAAUGUGCUGUAUUUGGGUGCUGUAACUGAGAGACAAUAUUCUUAGUAGCUUCAGCUCUCAAGUAAUUUGGUAGGAAUUUAAAGCCUACUCCAUAUCUCAUCAGGUUAAAUAUUUGUCCAAGACAAGUUUUUCCACCAGUUUCCUCAUUUGUUAAAUGACAUUGAUAACAAUACCUACAUUAUAAGGAGGAGUAAAUUAGGUAAUGUCUGUCUCUAGAAUAGUGAGUGACAUAAUUACACACUGAUAUUAGCUAUACCUAAUACUGCUCUUGUUGUUAUAAAAGAAUUAUUGUACUCAAAGGCCAAAGAGGAAGAAGUGACUUAUGCAAGCUAGGAAGGGAAGAGGAUCAUAAUUAAGUAGAGAAGGGAGGGAAACAAUGCAAAGAGGUACGAAAAAAAGCAGAGCAGGUCCAGAGAACAAUGACUUUUCAGAAUGUAAUUGAAGUGAAAUGAUGAGAAAUUUGGACUAUAUAUAUUUGAAGCUCCUAAGUCUUUCAGAAAAGAACAUGAUCAGAUUUGGCUGUGGGGAGCAUUGAUGGGGGGAAGGGGAAAAAGUAUGACAAGAGACCUGGAACACAGAUCUGAUUCUGGGCAGAUGAGAUUACAGAGAAUUGAGACUCCAUCAAAUUGUCUGGAUGAGACCCUGAACACAAUCUGAAGCUGGAACAUUAAAGAUGCAGACUGAGGUAUACGCUUAUAAAUUAUUUUAGACAUAUACAUGAUGAGAAGGUGGGCUUUAAGGCGGACUCAUUUCUAAUUUGUGUAACUAGAGUAAAUGAGUAAAUUUACAAAUGAGUAAGUGUCUAUUAGCUAAGACAGGGGACACAAUGAUACUUAUUACAAUUUUUAAUAAGUAUAAUAACAAUUAUACUUAUUAAUAAUUUAAUAAUAAGAGCUUAUUUAGCUCUUAAUUUGUACCAGGUUCUGCUAUAAAUACUUAUAAUGUGUUAAUUUAUUUAAUUAUCUUAAUGACGUUACAAGAAACUUGUAUUAUUUCCGUUUUUUCAGAUAUGAAAGCUGUGGGACAUGGAGAAAAAGUAACUUUUCCAAGGUCACAUAGCUAGCGACCAGUACAGUGGGAUAGCAAAUGUGAGUGAAUAGUUGAAAACACUGUACCUCUGAGUUCUGUGUUCUAUAGCUUCACUAGUCAGGAGAAGAACUAGCUCUGAGGAGAUAACUGGGAAAUAAGAUGAAUAAAGCUUAGCCUUAGGAAGGAACUCA
rnacentral:lncRNA from 12 species